CUCCGCCUCCCCAAAAGCCUCGCCGCCAUCUGCCUCUGGCACGUCGCCUCGUCCAAGAGCGCCGCCAGUCGCAGCUGGUCCCAACCCCCUCCACCUCCGAUCGUUUCCAACGCGGAGAUCGAGCAGAAGUUUUGUGCUCGCGUUGGUCUCUCGGCAGCUUCUGGACCUCCGUCCGAUUGCGUCCCUCUGACGAACUCGUCAUCAGCUUCGACUCCGUGCCGCCGCCGCCGAUGGCGUCCUCCGUCUCUGGCAUCUGCUCGUCCUCCCCGUCCCUCAGGCCGAAGACGCCGCCGGCCUCCGCCGCGAAGCCGUCGGCCUUCGGCCCGAGGGAGACAGCCUCGCCUCGUUCCCCAGCGAGCGCUGUCCCUGACGCUGGCCCGCUCGGUCGCGGGGGAGAUCUCAGCGGACCUGGGCAGGGCGGACGGCGCGGCAAAGAAGGAGAGGCGCAGGCUGGAGAAGGAUUCCCGCUCGCUGUGGAGGAGGUACAUGGACUGGCUGUACGAGCACCGAGAGCUAGGGCUUUUCCUGGACGUGAGCCAUAUUGGGUUCACGGACGAGUUUGUGGAGGAGAUGGAGCCCUGGUUCCAGGCCGCGUUCUAGGUGAUGGAGGAGUUGGCGCGAUCGCCAACCUGGACGAGGGCCGCAUGGUCGGGCACUACUGGUUGAGGAAUUCGGAGCUUGCGCCGACUUGGUUCCUGAAGGCGCAGAUUGAGAGCACGCUCGAUGUCGUCUGCAAUUUUGCUACCCGCGGUAAGGUCAGUUCUGAAAUUCCGGUUGUUGUUGCUCUCCGUGUGGUAAGAGAGGCUGUAGUUCCCUGCGUUUUUUUUUUUUUUUUUUUUUUGAAUCGGUUUGCUGUCAUAGUUGCUUACGGUUCUCCUCCAUUAUCUGGAGCAAGUAUUAGAUUCAUUAACACAUAUCCGGCUGGAAUUUACCAUUAAAUUGCGCAGCUUGGUCCUGAGCUGGCUUCUACCCUAGUGGUUGUGAUAUCAAAGAGUGGUGGUACUCCUGAAACCAGAAAUGGCUUAUUGGAAGUACAGAAGGCCUUUUGUGAAGCGGGAUUGGAAUUUGCAAAGCAGGGCAUUGCCAUAACAUAAGAGAACUUGUUGUUGGACAAUACUGCGCACAUUGAGGGCUGAUUGGCUAGAUUUCAAAUGUUUGACUGGGUGGGUGGCAGAACAUCUGAAAUGGCUGCAGUUGGUCUACUUCCAGCAGCCCUUCAACGACUCCAACUUCAGGGGAUCAAUAUUAGAGAAAUGCUUGCUGGUGCAUCCUUCAUGGAUGGGGCAACUAGGACGAAAGUGGUGAAGAACAACCCUGCUGCAUUGCUUGCUUUAUGUUGGUAUUGGGCUUCUGAUGGCGUAGGAUCUAAGGACACGGUAAUUCUUCCUUACAAAGACAGCCUUCUGUUAUUCAGUUGGUAUCUGCAACAACUUGAUUUGGAUGGCAAUCAGGUCAAUCAAGGGCUUACUGUUUAUGGGAAUAAAGGAAGCACAGAUCAGCAUGCCUACAAACAACAGCUGAGAGAGGGUGUGCACAACUUCUUCGUAACUUUCAUUGAAGUGCUUUGUGAGAGACCACCUGGUCAUGAUUGGGAGCUUGAACCUAGUGUUACCUGUGGUGACUAUUUGUUUGGAAUGCUUCAAGGAACGGGCUAUGCUCUAUAUGCCUAUGAUCGUGAGUCUAUAACAGUCACUGUUGAAGAAGUGACCCCUAGAUCAGUGGGGGCUCUUAUAGCAUUGUAUGAGCGAGCAGUUGAGAUAUACGCCUCAUUAGUUAAUAUUAAUGCCUAUCAUCAACCUGGUGUCGAAGCUGGGAAAAAGGCAGCAGCAGAAGUAUUUGCUCGUCAAAAACGGGUUCUGGUUGUACUCAAUGAGGCCAGGUAUCUUACUAGAACAAGCUUGUCUAAGAUGGAAACUAUCAGCUCUUAAGGAACGGGGAACACUUAAAGAACUGUUGAGUGGGGUGAUAGAAACAUGGAUAAGAAGAAACGCAAGCUCGUAGGCAUUGCAGAUGAUGGAUAGAAAGAGAUCCGCAUUGAAAGGACAGAUGAAUUUGGCCAAAUAUUAACCCCAAAGGAAGCUUUCCGAUUGCUUUCCUGUAAAUUUCAUGGAAAAGGGCCUGGCAAAAUGAAGCAAGAGAAGUGCAUGAAGCAAUACCAGGAAGAAUUGAAGUUGAAGCAGAUGAAGAAUUCAGACACGCCUUCUUUGUCUGCAGAGAGGAUGAGGGAAGCUCAAG